GGUGGCGGGUGUAUAAAGAGUCAGUUCUCGUGCCCUGAUGGCACGUGCGUUCCAUGGAGCUCCACAUGCAAUCAAUCAACAAAGGCAUCCCAAUGCCAAGACGAAGCCGAUCGACCAGCCGUGUGCGGUUCCAGCGUAUGCCCACUGAAUUCACUCAAUUG